rnacentral:sRNA from 12 species
CGGGUAGACAGAUUGGCCCCGACUGAAGACCAAUCUUAAUGUUAAAAAGGAAUUAAUAUCAUG